UUUCCGUAGGUGAACCUGCGGCAGGAUCAUUACAGAGUUCAUGCCCUCACGGGUAGAUCUCCCACCCUUGAAUAUUUAUACCUUAGUUGCUUUGGCAGGCCGUGGAAACACCAUGGGCUCCGGCUUAUGCGUGCCUGCCAGAGGAAACAAACUCUGUUUUUAGUGAUGUCUGAGUACUAUAUAAUAGUUAAAACUUUCAACAACGGAUCUCUUGGUUCUG
rnacentral:misc_RNA from 1 species